rnacentral:sRNA from 1 species
CACACAUGAUGUAGUACUCAGUACCUGGGAAUAAUAGGUUAUUUUACUAGCUGCAUAGUUUGGAGAUACCUAUGGAUACUCUGCACAUGCUAGAUGGACCUUGGGAAGUUAUGCCAGAUGAUAAAACACAGAAACCAAAGGCCACACACUGGUUAUAAUGAUACUUUCUUUUUUUCUUAGUAAAUGUCUGUUACAGCCACACCUAUAGAAGCAGAUUAGCGGUUCCUAGGGACUAUGGAGACAGGAAUGAGGAGUAAUUAUUAAUGGGUCAAAAGGAAAUGCUUUUGAGGAAAUGAAAAUUUCUAGAAGGAAGGUAGAGCUGGUGGCUGCACAUUGUGAAAGCAAAAACAUGAAAAUGAUUAAAAUACUAAGCUGGGUAUUACAUAUAUUCACCAUAAUUUAAACCACUCAUGUACACAGACUUUCCAAACACCUUUCUCCAGCUCACUCUUCCUCAAGAUUGCUCAUCUCUCUUGAUACGCGCCAAGGGUCAUUUUCCCAUAGUCACAUAUCCUAAAGAUGAACCCAUUAAAACCACACGCUUUCCCAUCCCAAGCCUCCCACAUGGCACCAGAUUUCUCACCACCCUCCAGAGUAGACCGUGUGUGACAAUGCUUCCAUUUUGCUGAGGGCUACAUUUUGCUAGUGCUGACGUAGUUUUCUUAGGUCACUAGACAGAGGAUGAACUCAAUUCCCUGUUCCUUGGUUCAAUGAUCCCAUUUCACCUUAGGCUGGUUUCUUGACAGCACAUUUUCUAGUGCACAAAGGACUUCACUUUUAUGUUAUUUGUAUGGGAAGGCUAUUGGAUUGACGUUUAUUCCAGGCUGGACUCUCAGGAUGAAGUAGAUUAUGGCCUCACAGGGGCAGUAGUAGGACUGUUGUUGGCUUGCUUUAAAUGGAAAUUACUGCCUUCACUAGGGGCCAUUAGCACAUCAAAAUGGUGUUUGUUGAGCCAGGAAAAGUGAUACAUUAUGUUUGCAUUUAUUCUUUGGUCCCCAAAGACUAAUUGUUGGUUUGUGUUUUUAAACACCCUUUCAAGUGCUAAGAGCCUCUAAUGAGUUAAAUUAACACACCAUUAGGGUUAAGAAUAGUGGUGUUGACGUGGACACAGUAGACCAAUUACUGGUGCUGGACUAUAGGAUGAAGCCCUGUAUGCACAGAACCCAGCUGCCCUGCCAUUUCUGAAAGACUAGGACACUUGAUAGAGCAUUCUCCACCCCCCGACACUUGUUUUGCUUAUCCUUGCAACUGUCUUUUGCCAUGAGGACCAGCCAUUAUGCAAACAAGGACACCAUGGCUUGGAGAGGCAUUGUGCCCAAUCAGACCAGCAAGAGGGUUGGGUGGGGACCCCAGAGAAUACCUGCUUUUGUUCAUAACACUUCUUGGACUUCUGGUGUUUGCACAGGGUCCAGCUUGAUACAGAGUGAAAGGUGAGCUUCCAUGAUGCCACUUAAAGAUCUGAUUUAGCUCUAGUGGAUAAUCUCUUCCUGCAAUCCAGCCAGCAUAGCUGGGGGUGGGGUGGGGUAUACCUACAAUAUGAUGAGGUGCUUGGCUCUAAGGGGGAGAGGAACUUGCUCCAUUCUGCAGAGAUAGUACAGUGGACAUGUUAGAAACUUCCAGAAACGUAGAUGCUCUAAGUGAAUCUGUUCCACUGUCUAGGAUGAGGUCAUCUCUGUCAAUCACUAUCAUGAUUUUAGAUGAUUUUUGGGUUGCAGGGAUGUUAUUAUCUUCCGUCCUCUCGGCUGAGCGAUAGAACCCAGAGGAUGAUUUUUAUAUAGCGAAACACAGUGAAAUUGAGGCUGCUAGGAACACUCUCUUGGCACAGUUUGUGAUAUGUCAGGUAGACUCCUCCUUUGGGCUGUUCUGGCUUCAUUGUUUAUCCUUAUAAUCCUGCUUGGAUGGGCUCCUAGAUUCUUCACAUAUCUCUAGGAAAAAGCCAAGUUAACUUGUGUUGGGCAGUGGGAAAAGGUUCAUAUCAAGACAUGGACAAUACUGGGGACAGGGUCAGAAUUACCCAAAACCAAGGACCUCCUCUUUGUCAUAGGAGGGAGCUAUUUCUGGUGCUUUUAACAGAGACAAGUUGUCACUGUCUGAAGACUGAUAACCAAGGUCUGUCUCCCUAGAUCUAUGCUUGAUGCCAUCCCUUUGCCGUUCUGAGCAGUAUGGCACUUAGGGGGCUGCUCUGUGCUAGGGGAAUUUGGUUUCUUUUUAAUACGUAAUAAUCACCAUUACAUCUCAAUUACUUAACAAAUAGAGAAGCACGGGGCCAUGUUAUUUCCAAAGAGCCUCCUGAGAGUAUGGCUGGAGAUCUCCAAAUGUUAUCCAAAAUUAGCCUGGAGAGGGCGGGCGAUCAGAUCUUUUAAUAUGUGCCCAAGGGAACACACGCGCAUUAUGUACUACUAGUGUGGGCGUGCUGUGCCUAUUCAUGGCUCGCACGCAGUCCUGGAAAACACCAUGCUCCUCCUCUUCCUGCUAGGAGAUACCUAGGCCCAUUAGAAGAGGCUGCAACAAGACCCUUUCUACUUCCAAGGGUGACAAUUGGAUGAGCUUUUUCUUCUCUUAAGCUGAGAAGCCCCAGAUUCUGGCUGGAAAGGAAAUAAUAGGUCACAGACAUAAUAAAAGGUACAUAAGUAAAUAUGAAAUAGUGGCAAAAAGACGUGAAAUUGUUUGAUGGGUCAGCAAGCAAACAAACAAACAAACAAAACCUCACAACUGGAUAGUGAGACAUUCCUCCUCCCAUUUGACCACAACGGUUGCCUUUUAACUCUGGUUUGUCAGUCAGUGCUGUUAAUAUUUUAUGAAAAGGGUGCUUAGGGCAAGGCAGCCAUAGACCAUUUUCUUGGGAAAUGUACAGUUUCUCAAGGCGUUUGUUUUUCAAGCCUUGGCAGUUGGCACUUUUCUUUUGAGAAAGCAGGAGUUGUUGGGGGCAGACCCUUAGUCUUAUUUCCAAGACUUGGGGUUUGGCUUAGUGUAGAAUUGUGAUCAUGAAAGCAGCUUUGGUUUACUGGUGGCAUAGCACUCAAAUAAAUUUGGGUUUAGCUAAAAGCCCUCAACAUAUAAUGAGGAUUACAAGUUAGGGAUCGGCCUGCCCCUGAAGCGUUCGAUUUCAUUUCGAUGGGCAUCUGGUAGGGCUCACUGCUUGCUGGGGGCAGAAGGCAGGCUUUUCAUCUACUGGAGCCUGCAGCCCUCAGAUGCAGGAAGCCUCCUUCACACCAGCUCUUCCUGCACAGUUUCUACUGACCUUUCAAGUCUUGCAGACCUGCCAAUGUGAAACUUCUCUGACCUUAAUUGCUGGACGCCUUUCCAUCCCCCUCCUCUCAAAAUGGAAAAUGGAAGUUACCCAGCCAGUGAGUUAAACUUUUCCCUUUAAAGGGGGUGCCAAAUCAUUUAUCCAUUUAUGUUUUCAACUCACCCCACAGUAACAAAAAAAAAAUCAGUGAUUUUGGUCAAGGCCUUGGAAGCUCCAAUGUUUCACAGUGCAUGAAGCCAUGCUACAGAAUGUUACUGCUGUCAUUUGGAUGUCUUUCUAUUAAGAUCCAGAGGUGACUGCUCUGGAUUGGGGUACUGAGCACUUUUUGAGGGAGACGUAUCUUUUUCCUAUUGGUGUUGUUUAUGGUAACAUUCAGCUUAGUACGAUGAAUAGGGCUGUGCUUCCAGUUGUUGCUGAUCAGACAUGGAUGAGUAAUGAUUAGCACAUAUAUGUUUAUGUUAUUUCAGCAGAAAAUCCGUGCACUGUCGGUGAUGAAUUGAAGGUUAAACGACAAAUCUUCCUCGAAACUAUUCCUGUUGUCUAGUCUAUGAACUGAAAACUGGAUUAACCUUUAAUUACCCUCAACGAUCUCUCAACCCCGAGACAACAUUGCCACUGCCACCAGUAGUAUUUGCAUAUACAAUUUAACGAGAGAAACAUCUGUUUGCAUAUUUGGAAUCAUUACUAGCAUGCAGAUUAAUGGAUACUUGCAGUGAGGUGUCACUUUCGUACACAGGUUCUCCAUUCUUCCCCAUAACCAGGAAGAUGUGAGUCUGAGGUAUCUUCUUGGUAGGAAGGUUACAAUAUUACAAAUCUCCUAUGGAUGGACUUGGCCAUCUGUGAGCACACUUUAGUGGACUGAUGCUCUGGAUAACACAUGGAUACCUAGAGGAGGAGGAAGACCUAGAGAGCAGAGUCACAGAAAGAAGAAACAGGUGAUGACUUCUCAGGGUGGUAGGCAAAUGGAAUUUAGCUCGAUAGAUAUACUACCCUUCUCUCUGUGGUCUGGGAGUCACAUCUUCUUCUCCAAGUUGCUAAAGAAGAUAGAUUUUGAGGACACCAGAGUGCAUGGUUAAUCCAGAAGACACCAUUUCAUCCUCUUAACCAAGGAGGCCUUGCAUGUGGCAUACAAGUGAUCUGUUACCGAGCUCCAUCCCUCGUCUCUGGAUCCUGCAAAUCUGCUGCAUCUUGAGGAACACAUCCUGAAGGAUCCUAGAAACAUAGAUCCCCACUUCACAUACAGAUAGCCACCGUGAUAUCAUUCAUGAUACGGAUCUGUAAGGGACAACCUAAAACUGAACCGGUGGUGCUGUCUAUGUACCAAAUUUAAUGGCCUCAAUGGUUCUUCCAGCAUGGAACCAGUCGAACUAAGUACUUGGCACCAGCUACAGCCGUAAUCAAUUGUGUGUGUGUGUGUGUACCAGAACGAUGCUUAUUUCUGUCUGAACAGAUGAGAACCAUCAGACUCUCUAUCACUUUUCUGCAAUUUUCUACAAAGUUGAAAGUUAUUCAAAAACAGUGAGAGUGGAGACUCCAAAAAAAAAAAAAACAAAAAAACAAAAAAACCAGACACUCCCUGUAAUAUUAAUCUUGCCAACUUGGUAGAGCCUGGAAUCAAAUAAGAGACAUCUUUGGGAGGGUUUGGGAGGCCAUUUCCUGGAAGCAUGGACUAACGGGGGUGGGGUGGAGAGGAAGCUCUCUUCGGUUGACAUUACCUUCUCAUGAAUGCCCAGACACGGAAAGGCCUGAGUGACAAGGACUGCUCACUUUAUCCACUCAACUUUGUGUCUACCUACUGAGUGCAUUGUACUGCAACUGCUGCUAUCAGACUACAGCUAAGACUGGCCUUCCAACAUGAAGCAAAUACCAGGCAUCUCUGUGAAUCCUGCAGGCCUCCAGCAUCAGCUUGGGACUACUGAAGCACGUACAUUCAGAGAGUGAGAGAUGCUGGCUUUUUCGGCCUUUCUAGCAUGCCCAUGGCCAUUACUGAACCACUUACCCUAUAGCACGCAAACCAAUUUAAGGAAUAGAUUAUACCCAUUGAUAGCAUAUAGUCAUUCUACUGUUUCUGUUACUGAUUGUCUCUUCCCCAGAGGAUCUGUUUGAACCUGGUUUUCUCAAUCUUACUUUGGUAACUUUUUGACAGUAGCAAAUCAACAGGGAUUCAGGUCCAAAGGAUGCCCAGCUGAAGAAACGGUAACAAGCCUAUUCGUUUUCAAGUCUUCUACACUCCAUAGACCCCCACUCUUUGCCCUUUGACCUGUUGUGGAUCUCUGCAGUAACCUCAGUGUUCUUCAGAAAGAAGCUUCUUCAACUAGGGCUGAGAGCUGCACUAGUGUUCUCAGUGUAAGGACACAUAAGUAAGGAUAACUAUUUAGAAGACAGGAGGACGAUGUAUCAAUUCAUCAAAAUCGUAGUUUAAUUAUACUUCUGCUGUUGCAAUUUUGAAAUACAUUUUAUGCUGGAAUGAAUUAUUCAUAUCUCCCUGUGCAUACUUUGUUUCUCUCCUCUGGAUAAAUAUUGAGAAACAGAAUGCCUAAUUCAAAAGACAGUUUUACUAUCCGUUUUCCAGUUUUCCUGCAGAUUUCCCAGAAAUGACUGAUACCUCCCCCUGCAGCAAGCGCACAUGAUUUGUGAUUUAUUUAUAGUACCCAUCACACUAAUUGCUCUCCAUCGGGCACCGGCACCUUGCCCCACUGCACAUAGAGGAGUCUUCCCAUGGUCCCCUCAGCAGCUUUUCAAUGCUGCCAAUAUUUUUCCACACAAACAAGGCUCCAACAGGCCCAGUCAUUCAGACUUACAAUAGGGAACAAAGUGUGCUGGAAUGUGAAGUCAUUUCCUCCUGUCUCUGGAGCCCAUUCUCUUUUUACUUGGCUGAGCAACCUCCCACGUGGUGAUGGAAUCAGGGUCUCAUUUCCUGUGACUUGGUGUCUCUCCAUGUUUAAUUUUCACAAAUGACAACUCACCCUCUACUCAGGGGAAGGGAGUGACCUGCUCUCUCAUCCUGCCUGGAUCUUAUUUCCUUGUAAAGUUGGCUGGGUCCAACUCCACCUCCCUACCCCAACAGUGCAUAUACAAACACACAUGUCUGCUUUCACUCCAUGGGAGCACAUACAUGUGCACCCACACAUCUUAUAUUUCUGAGUCAAAUCAAAAAAUCAUGUUUCUGUCUCUUCCAUAACAUUAUCUUAGGAAAGGACCUAGUUCUUCAAAGCAACCUUAUGUUUCGUUCUCUACUUAGCCUGGUAACAUAGUAUCUUGAUACCGCUAUACCAACAUGGCUACGAACAACCUUGCAUCAUGUUGAAUUCCUUGCUGCUAUUUUAUGUUCUUAGCCUUUCUACAACUGAAGGUAUAUACUCAGAAAUUCUUUACUUCUGCAUGGCACAUAUCAAUCUCAUACACAGUUUUGUCAGUUUGUUUCCAUAUAUAUUUAAAUUUAGUAUCUUCUCCAUUUUUCCUUUAUGUUUAAACACCUAAGGCAUAAACAUUACUCAAAAUUAAAAACAAUGACGAAUAGAAAUCUUAUUUCUUUUUCCCUUCUAAUUUUUAGUCAUUCUGUUCUCAUAGUCAUUUUGACUCAGUGCUGCCUUUUCAUUUGGGAGGGAGGUGGAGAGAAAUUUAUUUUUCCUUCUGUCUCACCUGCGACACCUUACACACACUUUUCAUUAUGUGUAGUUUUGCUUUCUCAGUUCCCAUUCAUUUCCCUUGCAGCAUAUUCCCCAACUCUACCAUCCACCAGAUCAUGUGAAGCCUCCUCCUUUAAUUUUUCUGACUCCAUACGGUUACCCUCUAUGGGUGUGUGAGCAUUUCUUCAAUCUUUCUUUGAACAUCAAGGUUAAUUUCAAUGAUUUGUAAAAAUCAAGGAAUGUAUCUCAGCAUAUUUCUGUUUUGUGAGGUAUAUUUUCAAAGUAAAUGGCUGAAAGCUAGGAUUCUGAGCCAGCAGGCAAGCACAUUCUGUAAUGGACAUUGCCCAUGAGAGAUGUAUGAGGGAUUCAUUUCCUUGAAGUCUCAAGGGUAUAACCGAUAUUUUUUAUAGCCUGCUUAUCAGAUUCAUUAUAAAACACAUCUUUAGGCAACUUUAAUUUGCAUCCCUCUUAUAAUAAUGAAAGUGAAACAACUUUUGUAUGUAUGUAUGUAUGUAUGUAUGUAUGUAUGUAUGUAUGUACUAAUGUCUUACUUUGUAUUGUUACCUGGCCUAUUGUGUAGACAAGCCUGGCCUUGAACUUUCAUAAGGCCUCCUGUCUCUGCUUCCUCAGUGCUGAGAUUACAAGUGUGAGCCUCAUUUUACACAGGUCAUUUUGUAAGUGCUUAUAUGAAUCGUAUGUAUGUAUAUACACCUAAUCUUGGGUGUGAAUUCUCUGAUUCUCUCUUCUUUCUGCUUUCGUGAGUUUCUCUCUCCCAUAGUUCAUUUUAAAGAAAUAAAGAACAUUAACUCCUUGUGACUUGUGUAUCUUUAUAUUUACAUUAACGUUUUCAUGACUUACAUCCUUCUCCACAGUUAUUUUUAAUUUUGGAUAUGGAGUCACGUGUAUUAUAUUAGGUUGACCUUGAACUCCUGAUCCUCCUGCCUCCGAACUAAAGUUCUGGGGUUACAGGCCCAUGGCAUCUCACCCUGCUGUUUCCACAACUUUCUAAUUGAAUGUCUCCCCUCAUUACCUCUUCGUUUUGAGUCACAGUUGGAAAAGUUUCUACACAUCCAAGUUACAUAGGAAACUCACCCAUCUUUUUCACCUCUCCCAGUUAGUGCUUUUUCUUACAUAUUACAUGUAAAUCUCUCUUAUUUGGAGUUCAUUUUGUGCAUUGUAUGAGGACAAAGGUGACUGCAAAUUUACCAUAAGAUUAUCGGCUGCUUGGCUUGUGGUUUCUUCUGGGAAUUUUCUAGAAAUUCAUGAACUAUUCUAAAAUACAUGAACUAUUAGCCACGCUAGUGGCAACAUUGUGUGAGGAGCUUAGUCUGCAUGUCCUGCUGUUAGACUGGCCCAUGCAGAAGAGCAGUGUUUGGAAUCCUCAGCCUGCAUUAGUCUUGGAAGGAAGCUGUGAGUCACAGGUGCACAGGUGGACCUUCAAGAGAUGCUGCUGGGGCUGGACUGAGGUUCAGUUGGCAGGGUGUUUGCUUAGCAUGCAUAAGCAAUGCAUAUGAGUUCUAAGCAUAUGGAUUCCAUAGCAUAAAAGAGGCAUGGUAGCAAGCACUUGUAACUCCAGGUCUUGGGAGUUGGUAGUAAGAGGUUCAAGACCAUCCUUGGCUAUUCAAGUUUAAAGUCAGUUGAUGCUCAUGAGAAUCUGCUUAAAAAUGAAAAUAGAUGAGAAAGAAAAGAAGACAGACAGACAGACAAGUAAUUUCUUUUAGAAAGAAUGGUCAGGAGAUCCAGCUAGCAGGAAUGAAUAAUAGAAAUACUCUCUAGCAAGCAAGUGAAACAGGCAACGGAGGGGUCAGAAAUGGGGGAAGGGUGGAUGGCCAGGGGUGCCUUCAGACGACAGCUGCUCUCUCAAUUAAAGAAGGAAAGAGCUUCAUGGCUACAAAACCAAGUUCCCAUAAAGGACCAGAAUGCUAAAAAAUCAGAGUUGGGCUGGAAGCAUCAGAAGAGGUUGAGAAGUCACCUUAGAGAAGGGUGAGCCAGUGGCCAUAGUUUGGUGCUGCCUGCCAGGAGAACUCACGUUCACACACAUUCUAUGGUCUGCACUAAGUGCUUUGGAUUUAGCCCAGCAUGGAAAGUGAGCUAUGUUCUUCAAAUUCAGAGGUGGAAGAAGAAACUCAGCCAUCUCAGAGAGUUUUAUGGAUAAGCCCCAAGAGUAUUCAAGAAUGUAUUGCACAAAACCAAACACAACUUAAAAGGAUUUAAAGAGAUUUCUGACAUGGACCAUAAAAUCUGGCUCGAGGAAACAUCCAUGAGUUAAGAGCAUUGCUCCAUGUAAGAAAUAACUAAUUUCACUAAGUGAGUUAUCACUGCACUUGAGAGCAGAGGAAAGUUAGUGCUUGGUUUUGGUUAAUGUCACCAUUGCCAUUUAUGCACUCCCUCUUCCCUGGUUGUGGCAGGUUCUUCUAACCCCAGGUUGCAGAGACAACGCAGAGAACUUGUUCUGGCUGCACAUUCAGAAGCCAGACCCCAAACUGGCCACCUGAAAGAAAACCAAUGCAAUAUCAUUCACCAUUCAUCUUUAGUCCUGUCCAUCAAGCCAAAAUGUUGUGGAAAUAGGCAAAAUCCCAUCCUGACUAUACAGACUGAUCCCUGGGAUUCACUGCCAACUUGUCUAGUUAAUCAGUGAACUUCUGGCUCAGAGAGAGACACUGUAUCCAAAAAAAAUAAGGUGGAGAGAAAACAAAGAAGACGUGUGAAUAAACCUUAGGCACAUGCCCAUGUCUACCCACAUGUGCACACACAAUUGAACACACAUCCAUAAACAACACACAUACAUCCAUUUUAGUAUAACAAAUGAAUAAAUGUCUCUCAAGUAGAUAAUAAUUAAAGUAUUGUUAAAUUUAUUAAAUCUGACAAUGUAAUUCUAGGAAUACAUAAAAUGAGUUAUUAAACAAUAACUACAAACUUCUUUAGCAGGAAGUUUUUUUUAAAACUACCCAGAAUCAAAAUACACACAUAGA